AGAGUUUGAUCAUGGCUCAGGAUGAACGCUAGCUACAGGCUUAACACAUGCAAGUCGAGGGGCAGCGGGGAUUGAAGCUUGCUUCAAUUGCCGGCGACCGGCGCACGGGUGAGUAACGCGUAUCCAACCUUCCGUACACUCAGGGAUAGCCUUUCGAAAGAAAGAUUAAUACCUGAUGGUAUGAUGAAAUUGCAUGAUAGCAUCAUUAAAGAUUUAUCGGUGUACGAUGGGGAUGCGUUCCAUUAGGUAGUAGGCGGGGUAACGGCCCGACCUAGCCUACGAUGGAUAGGGGUUCUGAGAGGAAGGUCCCCACACUUGGAACUGAGACACGGUCCAAACUCCUACGGGAGGCA
rnacentral:rRNA from 1 species